AUGGGCGCUCCUUCGGGAGCCUCACAAGGAUCAGCGCCACUUGGCGCGCUCUCAGCCGCCCGCCACAUGUCGCACUCUGGGUGCUCCCUUCAUUUUUUUUCCGCAUGCAUUUUUGGCUUUUUAAACAUUUUAUUUGGGUUUUUUCGACGUUUCUGUUUUCCACCGAUGUUCCUUAGUUUUUGGAUAAAAAAAUUAGAAUUGCGUGAAAAAAGAUGUUUUUUUUCUUCAGUGAGAGUCACGGUUUUGCUUCCGAUAGAGCCACGGUUUUGCUUUGGCGAGAGUCACGGUCGUGCCUCUCGGAGACGAAAAAACGGGUUUUCUGAUUUUUUUUUUACAUUCCGCGAGAGGCAAGGUUUGCUUCCGCUAGAGGCACGGUUGUGCUUUCGCGGUCGAAAUCGAAAAAAAUGUGUUUUCUGUUUUUUACCUUUAGCGAGAGGUCGAAAACGAAAAAAAAAUUGUAUCUCUAUUUUUCUUCCUUUCACGAGAGGCACAGUUUUGCUUCCGAGGCAUGGUUGUGCUUUCGUGAGAAGCACGGUCGUGCCUCUUCGAAAACGAAAAAAUUAUUUUUUUUGA
rnacentral:rRNA from 1 species